GUUUGUUCUUUUUGGGUGUACUUUUUCGUAUGGAAGGCCAACAUCAGUUUCGAAUAUCAUAAAAUGACCGGAGGAAUGUAGCUUCGAUCUUGUAUUGAAGUGUUAUAGCCUUUGGUAGAUGUGGUGUUUGGGACUGAGGAUUGCAACGAAUAUCCUUUGGGCUAUCCGUCUGAUCUCUGAAAGUUGCUUAGGUGCCGAAAGCGUGCUUACGGUUAUUUAAGUUGACGGUCAACAGGUUAGAACGUGAUUACAUUCGUUAAGGAUGUUGACGUAA
rnacentral:rRNA from 1 species